CAUUACCAUUGUCAAAUUAGACAGUUGUGUUUAACAUGACAGUUGUCAAAUUAGACAGUUGUGUUUAACAUGACAGUUGUCAAAUUAGACAGUUGUGUUUAACAUGACAGUUGUCAAAUUAGACAGUUGUGUUUUACAUUACCAUUGUCAAAUUAGACAGUUGUGUUUAACAUGACCAUUGUCAAAUUAGACAGUUGUGUUUUACAUGACCAUUGUCAAAUUAGACAGUUGUGUUUAACAUGACAGUUGUCAAAUUAGACAGUUGUGUUUAACAUGACAGGUGUCAAAUUAGACAGUUGUGUUUAACAUGACAGUUGUCAAAUUAGACAGUUGUGUUUAACAUGACAGUUGUCAAAUUAGACAGUUGUGUUUAACAUGACAGGUGUCAAAUUAGACAGUUGUGUUUAACAUGACAGUUGUCAAAUUAGACAGUUGUGUUUAACAUGACAGUUGUCAAAUUAGACAGUUGUGUUUAACAUGACAGUUGUCAAAUUAGACAGUUGUGUUUUACAUGACCAUUGUCAAAUUAGACAGUUGUGUUUUACAUGGUGACAAUAGGCCCAUGUAUAUGACAACAGUGGUGGUCCCGGGGUUCUAGGAAGUAUAUCUCUGUCUGUGUGGUGACAAUAGGCCCAUGUAUAUGAUGACAGUGGUGGUCCCGGGGUUCUAGGAAGUAUAUCUCUGUCUGUGUGGUGACAAUAGGCCCAUGUAUAUGAUGACAGUGGUGGUCCCGGGGUUCUAGGAAGUAUAUCUCUGUCUGUGUGGUGACAAUAGGCCCAUGUAUAUGACAACAGUGGUGGUCCCGGGGUUCUAGGAAGUAUAUCUCUGUCUGUGUGGUGACAAUAGGCCCAUGUAUAUGACAACAGUGGUGGUCCCGGGGUUCUAGGAAGUGUAUCUCUGUCCGUGUGGUGACAAUAGGCCCAUGUAUAUGACAACAGUGGUGGUCCCGGGGUUCUAGGAAGUAUAUCUCUGUCUGUGUGGUGACAAUAGGCCCAUGUAUAUGAUGACAGUGGUGGUCCCGGGGUUCUAGGAAGUAUAUCUCUGUCUGUGUGGUGACAAUAGGCCCAUGUAUAUGACAACAGUGGUGGUCCCGGGGUUCUAGGAAGUAUAUCUCUGUCUGUGUGGUGACAAUAGGCCCAUGUAUAUGACAACAGUGGUGGUCCCGGGGUUCUAGGAAGUAUAUCUCUGUCUGUGUGGUGACAAUAGGCCCAUGUAUAUGACGACAGUGGUGGUCCCGGGGUUCUAGGAAGUAUAUCUCUGUCUGUGUGGUGACAAUAGGCCCAUGUAUAUGAUGACAGUGGUGGUCCCGGGGUUCUAGGAAGUAUAUCUCUGUCUGUGUGGUGACAAUAGGCCCAUGUAUAUGAUGACAGUGGUGGUCCCGGGGUUCUAGGAAGUAUAUCUCUGUCUGUGUGGUGACAAUAGGCCCAUGUAUAUGACGACAGUGGUGGUCCCGGGGUUCUAGGAAGUGUAUCUCUGUCUGUGUGGUGACAAUAGGCCCAUGUAUAUGACAACAGUGGUGGUCCCGGGGUUCUAGGAAGUAUAUCUCUGUCUGUGUGGUGACAAUAGGCCCAUGUAUAUGACAACAGUGGUGGUCCCGGGGUUCUAGGAAGUAUAUCUCUGUCUGUGUGGUGACAAUAGGCCCAUGUAUAUGACAACAGUGGUGGUCCCGGGGUUCUAGGAAGUGUAUCUCUGUCUGUGUGGUGACAAUAGGCCCAUGUAUAUGACAACAGUGGAGGUCCCGGGGUUCUAGGUAGUGUAUCUCUGUCUGUGUGGUGACAAUAGGCCCAUGUAUAUGAUGACAGUGGUGGUCCCGGGGUUCUAGGAAGUGUAUCUCUGUCUGUGUGGUGACAAUAGGCCCAUGUAUAUGACAACAGUGGUGGUCCCGGGGUUCUAGGAAGUAUAUCUCUGUCUGUGUGGUGACAAUAGGCCCAUGUAUAUGACAACAGUGGUGGUCCCGGGGUUCUAGGUAGUAUAUCUCUGUCUGUGUGGUGACAAUAGGCCCAUGUAUAUGACAACAGUGGUGGUCCCGGGGUUCUAGGUAGUAUAUCUCUGUCUGUGUGGUGACAAUAGGCCCAUGUAUAUGACAACAGUGGUGGUCCCGGGGUUCUAGGUAGUGUAUCUCUGUCUGUGUGGUGACAGUAGGCCCAUGUAUAUGACAACAGUGGUGGUCCCGGGGUUCUAGGAAGUGUAUCUCUGUCUGUGUGGUGACAAUAGGCCCAUGUAUUCCUUGCGUUCAGGGCUGAGUUGUAUCGGGUGACAGACAGACUCCUUAAACAAACCAUACACAUAUUUGGUUCCUUAAUAUUUUGUCUUUUUAUUUUGGACCUGGUUCAGUGACAUUCAAGCUUUGGAGGACAUGGCCUUCCCAGUCACACGAGCACAAGAGAGCACAGAUACAUUCUCCCACCACAAACGUAAUGAAAAAGAGCACAGGACACAUUUUGUAAGAGCUCCUGUUACUGUCGCACAUGGUCUUCGAACUGCAGUUGAAAACAAAGUGUGUAAGUUUAACACCGUAGCUUAUUAAACAAUGACCUUAAUGUAAAACAAAAGACUCAGCAAUGUUUUUAGAUGGAAAAGAGAGAGAGAGAGAGAAAGUGGUACAACACCGUGUUACUAUAGCGACAGCAGAGUGACGGUGGGCUUGGUUAAUUGUCGGAGUAGUGUAAGCUCUUGGACAUGACCCUGCCCGCCUCCACCUGAAUUCUGAUCAGCAGACGCUUCCUGGGGCUGGUUGUGGGGCCACCGGCAUCUAAUGAGAGGGGCUUCAGAGUCAGGUGGGGCUUCGAUGGCAAAUCAAUGUCUGCGUGUAAGCAAGGACUGGGAUUGGUCGGUUUGUUUUAGUAAUCUGAGCAAAAGAGAUAUGAUUUGAUUUUAGUUGGACACACAGAUCAUGACACAACACAGGUCACAGUUCCUUCCUAUCGCAUCUUUCUCUUCUUACUCACCCUUCUACACAUUUACUGAGGAUGGGAAAGAACUACUCGGCAGUGGUGUGAAGUACUUAAGUAAAAAUACUUCUAAGUACUACUUAAUUAGUUGUUUGGGGUAUCUGUACUAUUUCAUUUUUUUGACAACUUUUACAUUUACUCAACUACAUUCCUAAAGAAAAUAAUGUACUUUUUACUCCUUACAUUUACCUUGACACCCAAAAGUACUUGUUACGUGUUUAAUGCUUCGCAGGACAGGAAAAUGGUCUAAUUCACGGACUUAACAAGAGGACAUCCCUGGUCAUCCCUACUGCCUCUGAUCUGGAGGACUCACUAAACAGAGAACAUCCCUGGUCAUCCCUACUGCCUCUGAUCUGGAGGACUCACUAAACAGAGAACAUCCCUGGUCAUCCCUACUGCCUCUGAUCUGGAGGACUCACUAAACAGAGAACAUCCCUGGUCAUCCCUACUGCCUCUGAUCUGGAGGACUCACUAAACAGAGAACAUCCCUGGUCAUCCCUACUGCCUCUGAUCUGGAGGACUCACUAAACAGAGAACAUCCCUGGUCAUCCCUACUGCCUCUGAUCUGGAGGACUCACUAAACAGAGAACAUCCCUGGUCAUCCCUACUGCCUCUGAUCUGGCGGACUCACUAAACAGAGAACAUCCCUGGUCAUCCCUACUGCCUCUGAUCUGGAGGACUCACUAAACAGAGAACAUCCCUGGUCAUCCCUACUGCCUCUGAUCUGGAGGACUCACUAAACAGAGAACAUCCCUGGUCAUCCCUACUGCCUCUGAUCUGGAGGACUCACUAAACAGAGAACAUCCCUGGUCAUCCCUACUGCCUCUGAUCUGGAGGACUCACUAAACAGAGAACAUCCCUGGUCAUCCCUACUGCCUCUGAUCUGGAGGACUCACUAAACAGAGAACAUCCCUGGUCAUCCCUACUGCCUCUGAUCUGGAGGACUCACUAAACAGAGAACAUCCCUGGUCAUCCCUACUGCCUCUGAUCUGGAGGACUCACUAAACAGAGAACAUCCCUGGUCAUCCCUACUGCCUCUGAUCUGGAGGACUCACUAAACAGAGAACAUCCCUGGUCAUCCCUACUGCCUCUGAUCUGGCGGACUCACUAAACAGAGAACAUCCCUGGUCAUCCCUACUGCCUCUGAUCUGGAGGACUCACUAAACAGAGAACAUCCCUGGUCAUCCCUACUGCCUCUGAUCUGGAGGACUCACUAAACAGAGAACAUCCCUGGUCAUCCCUACUGCCUCUGAUCUGGAGGACUCACUAAACAGAGAACAUCCCUGGUCAUCCCUACUGCCUCUGAUCUGGAGGACUCACUAAACAGAGAACAUCCCUGGUCAUCCCUACUGCCUCUGAUCUGGAGGACUCACUAAACAGAGAACAUCCCUGGUCAUCCCUACUGCCUCUGAUCUGGAGGACUCACUAAGCAGAGAA